GUAGACACACUGGGUUUAAUUUGACUCUGUUUUAAGAGUAAGGCAUUGGGAGAGUGUUGUUUUAACAGACCACAUGUCAUUCUUAGGUAUUCUCCUUGCCUUUUUCCAGGGAUGACGCUGUGUUUCAGAGGAAUUCAUAAGCAGAAUUGAAUUUGUUUUAGUUAACUCCUUAUUUGAUUGGAAUAUUGUCGACUUAACAAAAUAGUAGAAAGAGCAUUGGGCUGAAGUGAGAAGAUUUGAAUUCUAGUCCAAAAUCUGUUACUAACCAGCUCUUUGACCCUGAGAAGUCAUUUGACUUGAAUUAUAGUCUUUUUCUUAUAUGGGAAAGGUGGAGUAUACUCAGAGUCUCUCCUAAGUGCUAAGAUUCUGUGAUUCUAUGAAAUCAGACCAUCAGAGAGGAAUACUGCAGUGUUCUCCUGCAUGGGUUGUAAAUGAGAAAAAAGAAAGAAGGAGAGCAAAAUGACUUAAAGACAUUUUCAAGAAAAAAAGAGGAGAGAAGUCACUGAAAUGGAAAAAUAAACAUAUUAUAUAACUAUUUAUUGCACUAUGCAAUAAAAACAUCUUCAGCAACAGCCACACAAGUGCGGGUAGAGGGUCUGCUUUGAAGAGAGAAAAAAGGCUGCUGCAGAAAAAACAAACCUCAAUUCAUAAUUGGAGCUUUUGUUCUUUCUGGAUUGUUUUGUGAAGAACAUGCUGCCAAAAAACAUUUUUCUUCUGUAACCGCUUCUUUUGAAACUCCAUUCUUUUUUAUUUCAAGGAUGUUUAUUAUCUACUCAUUUCUUUUUAUUUAUUUUUGAAUCAUAUACCCCAAUGUCUAGAUGACUGGGACCACUAGGUUUCAUAUUUCCCAGAUGAGAUUAGUUGUACAGUUCAUUUUGCAGGUUUAUUCAGAGCAUUUCAAUGGCAUUUCACCUACAGUUCACCUAUAUUGAGUCCUAAGAAAUUGAAGGUGUUUCUUGAUAGUUCUCCUGCUCCAUCUUCUUCCAGGGGAUUGAUUUGGCUUCUUAUGUUUUUGUAUUUGGUUGCUCAUUAGAGAUAAGCCUGAUUAUUUGGCAUUGUGUAUUUUCUCUGUUUUAAAAAGGGAAAAUACAACAUGUUAUUAAUUAUUAUGAUAUAAUAAAAAAUGGAGAGAAGGAAAAAGAUUUUCAUCCUGACACUUUGAGUCAUUUUAAGAAUUUUCAGCUUGCUUUGUCAUUUGUUUCUUUAAACUCAAGAGAUUUGGUUUCUGAAUUUGAAUAAUCUUCAAUACACUGCAUGCUGAUUCACAGGUCUCCAGUAAAACAACUUGAAAAACUCAAAAAAGGAUCGAGUGGCAUCAUCUGUGAAUAUAAUGUCCCAAUCAUCUACAAAUU
rnacentral:lncRNA from 1 species